AUUCAUUUAGGAUUUUAAAACAAUCUAUCACCUAUCUUUGACCAUAUGGACUAAACUUGAUAUCCACCAAUAGACACUGAUCCCUGCAAGUCAACAGCAUAAAGAGUGGUAAAGUCAGUUCUGCAAAAGAUGAAAUGUUUUUAAUGUG
rnacentral:lncRNA from 1 species